rnacentral:rRNA from 1 species
UACGUAGGGUGCAAGCGUUGUCCGGAAUUAUUGGGCGUAAAGAGCUCGUAGGCGGUUUGUCGCGUCUGCUGUGAAAACCCGAGGCUCAACCUCGGGCCUGCAGUGGGUACGGGCAGACUAGAGUGCGGUAGGGGAGAUUGGAAUUCCUGGUGUAGCGGUGGAAUGCGCAGAUAUCAGGAAGAACACCGGUGGCGAAGGCGGCUCUCUGGGCCUUACCUGACGCUGAGGAGCGAAAGCGUGGGGAGCAAACAGG